UUCUACUGAAAUGUGAAGUGUGUGUGUGUGUGCGUGUGUGUGUGAUUAAAAAGCUGAGAAACAGGAGACUCUCUUUGCUGUCUCAGAGAAACUACAGAGAAAAUAAGACAUCUAUUUUAGUUUUUUUUUUUCCGUGGGCCUUUUUUUUUUCAAAGUGUUGUAUGCUGGGUAAAGAUCCACACCCCCUACACACAGAUAAACCAGCAUAUGAUUUGCUCAACAGAUCGUUUCCUCUUUGUCUCUUGGCUGAUACACAAUGGUUCAGUUUUUAACUCUGCAUGUGUUUCUCUGUGCCAUGGGUUUGCUCUCUGAGACUCUGUGCUCUUUAACUUUGGAGGCAGAAGCUGGAGAUAAUGUCACUAUUUGGUGCCAACAUUACCUGACUGAUCCAGGUUCCAUCUACUGGUUUAAACACACGAGUGAUUCAGUUCCACUUCUUCUUGGGUGCAAAAAGUUUAGAACAUCAGCUCCAUCACAACCGUGUUACUUCUUUACUGAAAGUGAGAGAAUAGUGAUGUCUGUUCAUGGCAAGAACACGUCUCUCACAGUCACUGCAGUAAAUGUCUCUGAUAGAGGACUGUAUUACUGCAGCUUUAUAGAACUGGACCAGGUUAACUUUAGAAACUCGAUCUUUUUAGAAGUGAAAGGUAAAUUUAUAAGUGAAUAGUUGCAGUAAAAGUUGAUUGAGAUGACUGCGAUUAUAAAGAUAAUGUUUCUUUUUUCAGGUGUAAAUAAAACAUUUACUGAGGACAAAGUAACAGGUCUGUUGUUUUCUUCUCAUGAAGGCUUCUGUACAUCUUUAAAUUAAAAUAUGAUGCAGGUUUAGGGAUCAAAAUGUUUUCUUUAAUAUUUUUCUCCGAGGUUCAAACUCUUCUGCUGUGUUCUUCAUGCUGACUGUGGUGUUUGGUGCCGUGAUUGUGAUUCUUCUCAGUGUCCUGAUCUUCAUCAUACUGAAGCACAGAAAAGCUCAGAGAGGUGCUGAAGCAGAAGCUAAUGAGGUUGCUGACUCGGACUCGGUGCAUUACGCUGCACUUCACUUCUCUAAGAAUAAAACCAACAGAAUCAUGAGACAUGAUGAAAUGGUGGAUCCACAUGUGGUAUAUUCUUCAGUCGAACAGAGUAAUGUGUGUACGUAAUGUCAAAUAUCAUUACUGUUUACUUAAUAUGAAGCAGAUGUUUCUGAUGGUCCAUGUUUGGAAGAAAUAUAUCAUUUGUAACAUCACAUUUACAA